CUACGGGAUGCUCCAGUGAGGAAUAUUGCACAAUGGGGGGAACCCUGAUGCAGCAACGCCGCGUGGAGGAUGACGCAUUUCGGUGUGUAAACUCCUUUUAUAUGUCAAGAAAAUGACGGUAGCAUAUGAAUAAGCACCGGCUAACGUCCGUGCCAGCAGCCGCGGUAAUACGGAGGGUGCAAGCGUUACUCGGAAUCACUGGGCGGAAAGGGCGCGUAGGCGGGUUGGAAAGUCAGGUGUGAAAUCCUACAGCUUAACUGUAGAACUGCACUUGAAACUUCUAAUCUAGAGUAUGGGAGGGGGAGAUGGAAUUAGUGGUGUAGGGGUAAAAUCCGUAGAUAUCACUAGGAAUACCUAAAGCGAAGGCGAUCUCCUGGAACAUUACUGACGCUAAGGCGUGAAAGCGUGGGGAGCAAACAGGAUUAGAUACCCCCGUAGUC
rnacentral:rRNA from 1 species